rnacentral:rRNA from 1 species
GACGAACGCUGGCGGCGUGCCUAACGCAUGCAAGUCGAACGGAACUGUUUUGAAAGAUUUCUUCGGAAUGAAUUUGAUUUAGUUUAGUGGCGGACGGGUGAGUAACGCGUGAGUAACCUGCCUUCAAGAGGGGGAUAACAUUCUGAAAAGAAUGCUAAUACCGCAUGACAUAUCGGAAUCACAUGAUUUUGAUAUCAAAGAUUUUAUCGCUUGAAGAUGGACUCGCGUCCGAUUAGUUAGUUGGUGAGGUAACGGCUCACCAAGACCGCGAUCGGUAGCCGGACUGAGAGGUUGAACGGCCACAUUGGGACUGAGACACGGCCCAGACUCCUACGGGAGGCAGCAGUGGGGGAUAUUGCGCAAUGGGGGCAACCCUGACGCAGCAACGCCGCGUGAAGGAUGAAGGUUUUCGGAUUGUAAACUUCUUUUAUUAAGGACGAAAAUUGACG